GGCCAGUUAGUUCAGGGGUUUGAGCACGGUGCUGACAGCAAUGACCAACACCGAGGUCGCGGGUUCGAUUCCCGCUCCGUCCC
rnacentral:tRNA from 1 species